AUAUUAAUAAGGGGAGGAAAAGAAACUAACAAGGAUUCCCUCAGUAACGGCGAGUGAAGCGGGAAAAGCUCAAACUGAAAAUCGGGAACCCAAGCGGGUUUUUGAAUUGUUUGCUAGAGACGUGUUGUCAGCGUGUGACCUAGGUUGAAAUCUCUUGAAACAGGGUAUCAUAGAGGGUGAGAAUCCCGUCUGCAAUCUGGAGUUCGCCGCGUACGACGCAUGUUCAUAGAGUCGAGUUGUUUGGGAUUGCAGCUCUAAUUGGGUGGUAAGUUUCAUCUAAAGCUAAAUAUUGGCGAGAGACCGAUAGCGCACAAGUA
rnacentral:rRNA from 1 species